rnacentral:lncRNA from 1 species
CCUGCGCCCACUGUCUGGCAUUCCCUAGUGAGAUGAACCCGGUACCUCAGAUGGAAAUGCAGAAAUCACCCAUCUUCUGAGUCGCUCACGCUGGGAGCUGUAGACCGGAGCUGUUCCUAUUCGGCCAUCUUGGCUCCUCCCCUGACAUGAAGAGCACAAAAUUUUAAGACAAAAACUGAAAAAAACUUCCAAGUUUACAAAUAUUUUGGAAAUGUAAGGAGAUAGAUAAGAUUCGAAAGUUACAAUUUCUAUUGAAAACGUCAGUGCUCUAAAUUAUGGCACACAAGAUUUGAAUGAAUCAUAGAGUAGCCAAAUCAUGUAUCCAGAUCUUCUGGAAGACCUGUGGCAGUCUAUUGAAGAAGUGAGCAGUAGAAUCCUUGGGAAUGCUAUCAAUUU